rnacentral:tRNA from 1 species
CGGGGCCGUAGCGCAGAGGCAGGCGCACCGGUCUCCAGAAUCGGAGGACGCCGGUUCGAAUCCGGCCGGUCCCGUC